AACCAAAUUACAAAAAAAAACGUCUA
rnacentral:sRNA from 1 species